rnacentral:lncRNA from 1 species
ACGCUGUUCAGAAGACCGCUGCCUUUUGCCAAAUAAAAAGCUGGCAUGGAUCUGUGAUGAUGGAUCUGAAACUGAGGAGCUGUGAUUUCAGGCAGGGGAGGGGGGAGUUUCUAGCCCUCUCUACCCCAUUGUGACCCUCAAAUUGGCCUUGAGACACCUUUGAGAGCACAAAGAAGUGAAUACAGAAGCUUCCACACAAGGCUACAUUUUCUCUUUCUCCUUUCCUCUGUCUUGCCUGUAUCACUCACCUGGCAGGCACCAGCCAUUGUGUGGCUCAAGGUUCCUGUGUUUCUACAACAGUCAGAGCACAGAAGGCUCAGCAUGUGGUCCAAGGGCGACACUUUCACUCUCAGACUGCUGGUCAAUGAGCCAAGCCCUUGAACCUCUUCUGGGCUGCCAGAGUAUUUCAUGGAUAUCAAAAUCUCCUGCGUCAGGCUCACAGAGCAGAAGCUGUGACUGAAGGCUCACCCAUACCAGCUACACAGGCUGUGGGAGCAUUGAAGAGAUGCUUGUUAUCAUCCAGCUAGGCUAAUCCAUUUUAUAAAGUCCCAAGGACUGGCGCCUGGUUGCUAAGUGAUUUAGACACAGCCUUUUCCUGCACUCUUAAAACAUUUCCCGAAAGUCUUCAUUGGCCAUGGCAUGACUCUGCUAGCUGUGCCGUGCUCCCAGUACUUAGGAGCUGUGCUCCCAGUACUUUAGGAGUACUGUCUGUCUUGAGACCAGGUGGUCCCUUGUAGAACUGGGAUGGGAUCUGAUGCUGUGUUGGUCUCAU